AUACGGAGGAUCCGAGCGUUAUCCGGAUUUAUUGGGUUUAAAGGGUGCGCAGGCGGCCAUUUAAGUCAGCGGUUAAAUCGUGGGGCUCAACCCCAUUCUGCCGUUGAUACUGGGUGGCUUGAUUGCGGUCGAGGUUGGCGGAAUUUGUUGUGUAGCGGGGAAAUGCAUAGAUAUGACGAAGAACACCGAUUGCGUAGGCAGCUGACCAGACCGCAAAUGACGCUCAUGCACGAAAGUGCGGGGAUCGAACAGGAUUAGAUACCCUGGUAGUCCGCACAGUAAACGAUGAAUACUUGUUUUCGGCGAUAUAAUGUCGGAGGCAAAGCGAAAGCGAUAAGUAUUCCACCUGGGGAGUACGCCGGCAACGGUGAAACUCAAAGGAAUUGGCGGGG
rnacentral:rRNA from 1 species